rnacentral:rRNA from 1 species
AGAGCGAACGCUGGCGGCAGGCCUAACACAUGCAAGUCGAACGGACUCUUCGGAGUUAGUGGCGGACGGGUGAGUAACACGUGGGAACGUGCCUUUUGGUUCGGAAUAGCUCCUGGAAACGGGUGGUAAUGCCGAAUGUGCCCUUCGGGGGAAAGAUUUAUCGCCAUUAGAGCGGCCCGCGUCUGAUUAGCUAGUUGGUGAGGUAAAGGCUCACCAAGGCUACGAUCAGUAGCUGGUCUGAGAGGAUGACCAGCCACAUUGGGACUGAGACACGGCCCAAACUCUACGGGAGCAGCAGUGGGGAAUCUUGCGCAAUGGGCGAAAAGCCUGACGCAGCCAUGCCGCGUGAAAUGAUGAAGGUCUUAGGAUUGUAAAAAUUCUUUCAGUAGGACGAUAAUGACGGUACCUACAAGAAAGAAGCCCGGCUAACUCGUGCCAGCAGCCGC